GAUGAACGCUGGCGGCGUGCCUAAUACAUGCAAGUCGAGCGAACAGACGAUGAGCUUGCUCCUCUGACGUUAGCCGCGGACGGGUGAGUAACACGUGGAUAACCUACCUAUAAGACUGGGAUAACUUCGGGAAACCGGCUCUUAUACCGGAUAAUAUAUUGAACCGCAUGGUUCAAUAGUGAAAUACGGUUUUUCUGUCUCUAAUAGAUGGAUCCGCGCCGCGUUAGCUAGUUGGUAAGGUAACAGCCUACCAAGGCAACGAUGCGUAACCGACCUGACAGAGUGGUAGGCCACACUGGAGGGGAGACACGCACAAGACUCCUACGGGAGGGAGCAGAAGGGAAUGUUCCGCAAUAGGCGAAAGCCUGGCAGAACAAGGCCGCGUGAGUGAUAGAAGUCUUCGGAUCGUGAAACUCUGUUAUUAGGGAAAAACAAAUGUGUAAGUAACUAUGCACGGAUUGACGGUACCUAAUCAGAAAGCAACGGCUAACUACGUG
rnacentral:rRNA from 1 species